AGCAGCCGCGGUAAUUCCAGCUCCAAUAGCGUAUAUUAAAGUUGUUGCAGUUAAAAAGCUCGUAGUUGAAUUUCGGGGUCAGUAGGUUGGUCAUGCCACUGGUAUGUACUGGUCUCACUGAUUCCUCCUUCCUGAUGAGCCGUAAUGCCAUUAAUUUGGUGUUGCGAGGAAUCUGGACUGUUACUUUGAAAAAUUAGAGUGUUUAAAGCAGGCUAACGCUUGAAUACAUUAGCAUGGAAUAAUGAAAUAGGACGUUCGAUCUUAUUUUGUUGGUUUCUAGGAUUGACGUAAUGAUUAAUAGGGAUAGUUGGGGGCAUUAGUAUUCAAUUGUCAGAGGUGAAAUUCUUGGAUUUAUUGAAGACUAACUACUGCGAAAGCAUUUGCCAAGGAUGUUUUCAUUAAUCAAGAACGAAAGUUAGGGGAUCGAAGACGAUCAGAUACCGUCGUAGUCUUAACCAUAAACUAUGCCGACUAGGGAUCGGAUGAUGUUAAUUUUUAUGACUCAUUC
rnacentral:rRNA from 1 species